rnacentral:rRNA from 1 species
UACGAAGGGGGCUAGCGUUGCUCGGAAUCACUGGGCGUAAAGCGCACGUAGGCGGACCUUCAAGUCAGGGGUGAAAUCCCGGGGCUCAACCUCGGAACUGCCUUUGAUACUGUUGGUCUUGAGUCCGGAAGAGGUGGGUGGAAUUCCUAGUGUAGAGGUGAAAUUCGUAGAUAUUAGGAAGAACAUCGGUGGCGAAGGCGCUCUGCUGGACCAUAACUGACACUCAGGGACGAAAGCUAGGGGAGCGAAUGGG